UUCGGUGGUCAUUGCGUUGGGGAAACGCCCGGUUCCAUUCCGAACCCGGAAGCUAAGCUCAACUGCGCCGAUGGUACUGCACUCGGGAGGGUGUGGGAGAGUAGGACACCGCCGAAC
rnacentral:rRNA from 2 species